rnacentral:misc_RNA from 1 species
GAUGAAGAACGUAGCGAAAUGCGAUAAGUAGUGUGAAUUGCAGAAUUCAGUGAAUCAUCGAAUCUUUGAACUCACAUUGCGCCCUUUGGUAUUCCUUAGGGCAUGCCUGUUCGAGCGUCAUUUGAAACCUCAAGCUCAGCUUGGUGUUGGGUGUCUGUCCCCGCCUCACCGCGGGGACUCGCCUCAAAAUCAUUGGCGGCCGGUACGUUGGCUUCGAGCGCAGCAGAAACGCGAACUCGAGGCCCGGCGGAUCGGCGACCAGAAGUCACUUCUUCACAGUUUGACCUCGGAUCAGGUAGGGAUACCCGCUGAACUUAAGCAUAUCAAUAAGCGGAGGA